CGCGUAGGCGGUCGAGUAAGUGUGAAGUGAAAGCCCACGGCUCACCCGUGGAAUUGCUUUGCAUACUGUUCGACUAGAGGAAGGUAGGGGAGAGCAGAACUCUUGGAGGAGCGGUGAAAUGCGUAGAUAUCAAGAGGAAUACCAGUGGCGAAGGCGGCUCUCUGGUCCUUUUCUGACGCUGAGGUGCGAAAGCUAGGGUAGCGAACG
rnacentral:rRNA from 1 species